AUUUAAAAAUAGGACAGAAAUUAAAUUCAAGUUACUAAUACUUUCUGAUAAAGGUACAGGGUGGCCUGCAUUCGUUCUUUGAAACGACUCUGGAACUGUCACUUUGUGAACUUUCGACUUGAGUGUUUUUCACCAAAAAUUCAGAUCUGGUGUUGACCCGAAGAUUACCGUCUAUAGGAGAACGAGAGUUGCAGAAGAUAACAGUGAUGGGGCCGGAACUUCCUUCUGACGUUUCUUCGCCCGCGGGACCGAGUGGAGCUCCGGUGGCAGCCAGCACCUGUGACUGGGUGUGGGGUGGUGGUUGGCCUUUCAACUGUUUUCUAGAAGAGUUUUAUUAUGUGACCUGAUCUAAGUGUUGCGAGAAUAAAAGUGCUUCCUUGCCCAGCUA